AUAUUUUUUAGAAGGUAGGGUGCGAUUUGUAUUUGUGGUCACUUCCGAACUAGUUUAAUGUCUAAAAUAUCAGACUGCUCUAAAGUUGAUUAGUUUGAUGUUCGAAACAUCGAAUUCACCUCAAUGGGUCAAUCCAAUUUUGUGGACGUUGGAACGGACUGAAGGAGUGUUCUUUUUCUCUGUUUUUUUCUCCUCCGCCUCCAAUAAAAGCCCUAAUUCAACGUCUCCCUCACAUCCCUAAGAACCCCUCUCUCUCUCGCUCCAAACUCAUGGUAUCUAGCACUCUCCACUGCGAUGUUCAAGUUGCGUUGGAAGUCUGAAUCAGGACCGAGCCAUGGGGAGUAAGAUUGGUGAAGGAAGACUGUCUCAUGGGCUAUAUUUAUUUAAUCAAGAGAUUAAGGCUUUAGUAGCCAGUCAAAAUAAUUCUGAUGUUAAUAAAGUGUAGCAUUGGAGAUUUGGACACCUUUCAGAUCAAGUUUAGAAACUUUUAAUGCCUUCUUUAUCUUUAAAGUCUCAUUCUUGUGAAGUCUGUAAAUUCUCAAAAUAGAUAAGACUUAUUUUUAGUCUUUCAUGUAUGUUUCAAAGGAACCACUUUAUUUGAUGCA